GGGCCGGUGGUCUAGCCUGGUUAUGACGUCGCCCUUACACGGCGAAGCGUUCCGUGCGCCAAAGUCGGCGGUCCAACUCCGCCCCGGCCCA
rnacentral:tRNA from 1 species